rnacentral:rRNA from 1 species
UUAUGAGGUUAAGCGACUAAGCGUACACGGUGGAUGCCCUGGCAGUCAGAGGCGAUGAAGGACGUGCUAAUCUGCGAUAAGCGUCGGUAAGGUGAUAUGAACCGUUAUAACCGGCGAUUUCCGAAUGGGGAAACCCAGUGUGUUUCGACACACUAUCAUUAACUGAAUCCAUAGGUUAAUGAGGCGAACCGGGGGAACUGAAACA